GACGAACGCUGGCGGCGUGCUUAACACAUGCAAGUCGAACGAUGAAGCUGGAGCUUGCUCUGGUGGAUUAGUGGCGAACGGGUGAGUAACACGUGAGUAACCUGCCCUGGACUCUGGGAUAACCCCGAGAAAUCGGAGCUAAUACCGGAUAGGACCUCGGAUCGCAUGAUCUGGGGUGGAAAGUUUUUCGGUCUGGGAUGGACUCGCGGCCUAUCAGAUUGUUGGUGAGGUAAUGGCUCACCAAGGCGUAGGCGGGUAGCCGGCCUGAGAGGGUGACCGGCCACACUGGGACUGAGACACGGCCCAGACUCCUACGGGAGGCAGCAGUGGGGAAUAUUGCACAAUGGGCGCAAGCCUGAUGCAGCAACGCCGCGUGCGGGAUGACGGCCUUCGGGUUGUAAACCGCUUUUAGUAAGGAAGAAGCCGCAAGGUGACGGUACUUGCAGAAAAAGGACCGGCUAACUACGUGCCAGCCGCCGCCGUAAUAC
rnacentral:rRNA from 1 species